rnacentral:rRNA from 1 species
AUUGAACGCUGGCGGCAGGCCUAACACAUGCAAGUCGAGCGGCAGCGGGAAAGUAGCCUGCUACUUUUGCCGGCGAGCGGCGGACGGGUGAGUAAUGCCUGGGAAAUUGCCCAGUCGAGGGGGAUAACAGUUGGAAACGACUGCUAAUACCGCAUACGCGCUACGGGGGAAAGCAGGGGACCUUCGGGACUUGCGCGACUGGAUAUGCCGAGGUGGGAUUAGCUAGUUGGUGAGGUAAUGGCUCACCAAGGCGACGAUCCCUAGCUGGUCUGAGAGGAUGAUCAGCCACACUGGAACUGAGACACGGUCCAGACUCCUACGGGAGGCAGCAGUGGGGAAUAUUGCACAAUGGGGGAAACCCUGAUGCAGCCAUGCCGCGUGUGUGAAGAGGGCCUUCGGGUUGUAAAGCACUUUCAGCGAGGAGGAAAGGUUGAUGCCUAAUACGUAUCAACUGUGACGUUACUCGCAGAAGAAGCACCGGCUAACUCCGUGCCAGCCGCCGCCGUAAGAC